GGGCUGUGAAUGGGGAGGUGUGACGUAAAAAGGGACCCGAACGCAGGUGCUUAUCUCGAGGCUGUCAAAGGCACAGUAUGUCAUAUUCCUGGGGACUACCUUUCAAAGCCACAGCACCAGCUCAGCUAUCAAGAGACUGGGAGAAAAUCAAACUUUUUGGAUCACAGCACUAGAUAAUGAAUUACAUGAUCACCUCCUGAGAGAUAACAAGUGUGAAAGCAACAACCAGGGGGGACAGUGUGGGUCUGGCAUCUUAUCCUACAGUGCGCACGGAAACCUACAAUCAAAGAUGGAUUCUGAAGGCGAGGAGCAAACCCUGAAAACAUGCAACAGUAGCACAGGGCUGGCCGACUGCAUCGCCGAGACUCACAG